rnacentral:lncRNA from 7 species
AAAAAGAAGUGCCGAUUUCAUUUAAAAAAGGACUUUCCCCUCGGUUUUAAUGCAAGACUCGGUGGUUUCCAACCCUCCUCCCAGCUGGCACCUGGGGGCUUCCCAUUCCUCCCAGCAUCCGCCCGAUGCUCGCCCAUGGGAGGGACCAAAAGCCAAUGGUGACAGCAUCUGAGGGUCACUAUGGGGAUUCAGGGAGGUCCUCCAACCUUCAUUUCUUUCUGCAGUACAUCACCUCCAUUUUGCCCGCGGGAGGAAUCCGUGCUGCUGAGCGUGGUGGCUGCUUGCUCCGGAGCGUUUAUCUCCUUGGACUGUUGGUUAGAGCAAAGCCUCAGGAGGAGCAAGGCCAUACACCUGCCAGCUACCCAAGAGCGAUCCCAAGAAGCUUGGAGAGUACUGAUAGAGGAGAACUCCAUCGCUCCAGAAACCUCACCACUUCCAAAUGUAUUAAUGGAAAAAAUAAUGAGAAUUAGUGAAAAAUGAAAAAAUAAAAAAUAAAAUAAGGCUCUUUCCCAGUUAUUUAACAUAGGAAGGAAAAUCUCCAGAGAUCACCACGUCAUUCCUCACCACGUCCACCACAUUUGGUCAUCUCAGCACUGGACUCUUAAAAGUGGAGCCAGAGAGAUGGGGACUUGUACGUGUUGAGCGGCGGUGGCUCAGAAGAGGCCAUCACAUAGCUGUGUGCUCGGGGAAAAGGGCUGAGCUCAAAACAUUCUAAUGACAUUUAAGCUUUUGUCUCCUUCUCAGCAUCCACGUUUGUCCAGUUCUACCUUGGAUCUGCACCUCUGACUCGAGAGCUGAAUUAUGUGUGGUGCAAACAAGUCCUGCCACAGCUCCCAUCUGUCAUCCCUCUCCUAUGCUGAUAAGCACCAGGUUAUUUAACUUUCCUCACACAAAGCUGUUUCCACCCCUCUGGUCUCCUUUGACACCCCUCUAAAUUGUCACCUAGGGAGAUCUGAUGUCUCAAUGCAGCAGCUUGGAGCCACCAGACACGCACAAGAAAUACACAAACAAUGCCCCACGUCUGGCUGAAACCUCUGGAAGUGAAAAUCUGAUUAGUCCCACUUUUAACCAUCUCACACCUACCCAGACCAGUCUUCCAGGCAGUGAUCUGGAAGCCUGACUUCUUAAAAUGGCACGUCUUGAAUCACCAAGCCACUCUUAACUGCUCUCCGUGAUGAGUUCUGCUCAGCUGUCAUGCUCUCCUGUCUUCUGCUUCCCAGAAACCAUGAAAAAGUCAGAGAAAAACAUAUACAUAAUAAAUUCAUGAUGGAUUU